GAUGAACGCUGGCGGCGUGCCUAAUACAUGCAAGUCGAGCGAACAGACGAGGAGCUUGCUCCUCUGACGUUAGCGGCGGACGGGUGAGUAACACGUGGAUAACCUACCUAUAAGACUGGGAUAACUUCGGGAAACCGGAGCUAAUACCGGAUAAUAUAUUGAACCGCAUGGUUCAAUAGUGAAAGACGGUUUUGCUGUCACUUAUAGAUGGAUCCGCGCCGCAUUAGCUAGUUGGUAAGGUAACGGCUUACCAAGGCAACGAUGCGUAGCCGACCUGAGAGGGUGAUCGGCCACACUGGAACUGAGACACGGUCCAGACUCCUACGGGAGGCAGCAGUAGGGAAUCUUCCGCAAUGGGCGAAAGCCGGACGGAGCAACGCCGCGUGAGUGAUAAAGGUCUUCGGAUCGUAAAACUCUGUUAUUAGGGAAGAACAAAUGUGUAAGUAACUAUGCACGUCUUGACGGUACCUAAUCAGAAAGCCACGGCUAACUACGUG
rnacentral:rRNA from 1 species